AGUGGCGGACGGGUGAGUAAUGCUUGGGAACUUGCCUUUGCGAGGGGGAUAACAGUUGGAAACGACUGCUAAUACCGCAUAAUGUCUUCGGACCAAACGGGGCUUAGGCUCCGGCGCAAAGAGAGGCCCAAGUGAGAUUAGCUAGUUGGUAAGGUAACGGCUUACCAAGGCGACGAUCUCUAGCUGUUCUGAGAGGAAGAUCAGCCACACUGGGACUGAGACACGGCCCAGACUCCUACGGGAGGCAGCAGUGGGGAAUAUUGCACAAUGGGGGAAACCCUGAUGCAGCCAUGCCGCGUGUGUGAAGAAGGCCUUCGGGUUGUAAAGCACUUUCAGUUGUGAGGAAAAGUUAGUAGUUAAUACCUGCUAGCCGUGACGUUAACAACAGAAGAAGCACCGGCUAACUCCGUGCCAGCAGCCGCGGUAAUACGGAGGGUGCGAGCGUUAAUCGGAAUUACUGGGCGUAAAGCGCACGCAGGCGGUUUGUUAAGCUAGAUGUGAAAGCCCCGGGCUCAACCUGGGAUGGUCAUUUAGAACUGGCAGACUAGAGUCUUGGAGAGGGGAGUGGAAUUCCAGGUGUAGCGGUGAAAUGCGUAGAUAUCUGGAGGAACAUCAGUGGCGAAGGCGACUCCCUGGCCAAAGACUGACGCUCAUGU
rnacentral:rRNA from 1 species